GAUUUUUUCUCUAGCAGUAGGAUCAGUGGAUUCAGGCAUCAUAAUGAGCCUCACCUGAUCUUUGUCAGAAAUGUUCUUCGUGUGACAACCACCAAGAUAGCCUGGAAAUUGUGAGAUUUCGACGUGACGUGAAUUAUGAGCCCUUAUCUUCUGGAAGAGACCAUUUGGCCAGGGGUGAAGAUGGCCCCACUGUCCCGAGUUCUGGGGCUUAAGGCAGAGACCAAGAAUCCCAGGCGGGUCUGACACACAAGGAGUGAUUGGGGAUAUAGAUGUUUAAAUUCCCUGAAAGCAAUUUCGCGAAGACAUUUUUCUUGUGUAAAUAAAAUUCUCUCAGUGAGCCUCUCCGCCAGUUAAAUGAGGCUCAAUUAGACGCUGCUAAUUUAAGCCCGCAUACUGCAUUCCGCCUGUGUACCUAAUUACCCCGUUUAGUUUGUUAAUGAUCAGAUCCUUGCCUGCGUUGCUAUCAGAGUGGGUCAUUAAUCUCCACUCUAGUUAGAUGCCUAUCUGCUUACAGGAAUAAAUCCUCAGAAAGAUUAUGAUUUGAUUUUUAAAGAAAUCAAGGACUUUUUUUUUAAAGUACCAAGGCAACUAACUGGUAAAAUGUAAGUUGUUUUUAUUCCUUUAUGUGAUGAGUGAGUUUUGGGCACUGAUUUCUCCAACAGACACUGCAGCUGUGAGGGGAGGAGAGACAGACACACCGUCAUCUGUGGUCAGGCCCACAAAGAGACAGGAAUAUAGCAAAGAUCAAGACACACAGAGAAGCAAAGGAGAGCAGGUGCUUCCACAGGAUGGCGAAGGCCUGGCAGCUUCUGUCAGGUUAGAAGUUGACCAGCCCAGUACAGGCCAGACCUGUGAGCUUCGCCAACAGCGGACCCUGCCCGAAACCUGAAGGGCAUCUACUUCCUGUCUGAGAAGCCAGGCCUGUGCUUGACAGUUUAUCUGAGGCUCACAUGUUCUUACUUUAUUUAAUCUGAAGAGAAAACCCAUGGGGAUUCAGGCCAUUUGAAAAUUCCCUUCCUUCACAGGACACAGCCAUGCCUUCCCACUUCUGUCAGCAAACCUCCUCGGACAGCACACAGCACCCCACCCUGCAGCCUUCGGACAUCGAUGGCAGGCGACGGUUUUGUUUGUCCCCACCUUCAGUGCAAUUCAGCAUGUAUUUAACAAAGGCAGGACAUCCCUGCCUAACAGGAGGAGAGGCCCGUGUUUUGGGGUAAUCCCCUCUCUUCCCAAGAAAGCACAAAAGGGUUUUCUCCCAGCUGCAUUUCACUCAGUUUGAUGUCUUCUGAUAAAUUCUUAUAAAUUCGAUGUUUUCUGAUAAAUUAUCCUCAUGUCAUGCUGAGAAAACCUCAACUUAUCACUUGAGCAAAGGUACAAUAAAGUCAUCAUAAACGUC